rnacentral:tRNA from 1 species
GGUGGCUCAGUGGUAGAGUACUUGCUUCCUAUGCAUGAGGGUCUGGGUUCAAUUCCUCAGCACCA